GGGCUCACACAAGCGGUGGAGCAUGUGGCUUAAUUCGAGGCAACGCGAAGAACCUUAUCCUGGGUUUGACAUGUACGGAUGGCUCGCCUGAAAGGGAUGAGUCUGCCUUCGGGUGAAACGUACACAGGUGCUGCAUGGCUGUCGUCAGCUCGUGCCGUGAGAUGUUUGGUUAAGUCCAGCAACGAGCGCAACCCCUGUGAACUGUUGCCAGCGCGUAAAGCGGGGACUCUGUUCAGACUGCCCAGAUCAACUGGGAGGAAGGUGGGGACGACGUCAGGUCAGUAUGGCCCUUACGCCUAGGGCUGCACACGUACUACAAUGCCCAGCACAAUGAGAACCGAGACCGCAAGGUGGAGGA
rnacentral:rRNA from 1 species